rnacentral:rRNA from 1 species
UCGCAGCAGGCGAGAAUUUUUCUCAAUGGGGGAAACCCUGAAGGAGCGACGCCGCGUGGAGGAUGAAGGCUUUCGGGUUGUAAACUCCUGUCAUUUGAGAACAAGUGGCCGAACGUAACUACUUCGGCCUUGAUAGUAUCAGAAGAGGAAGGGACGGCUAACUCUGUGCCAGCAGCCGCGGUAAUACAGAGGUCUCAAGCGUUGUUCGGAUUCAUUGGGCGUAAAGGGUGCGUAGGUGGCGCCGUAAGUCGGGUGUGAAAUUUCGGAGCUUAACUCCGAAACUGCAUUCGAUACUGCGGUGCUUGAGGACUGGAGAGGAGACUGGAAUUUACGGUGUAGCAGUGAAAUGCGUAGAGAUCGUAAGGAAGACCAGUGGCGAAGGCGGGUCUCUGGACAGUUCCUGACACUGAGGCACGAAGGCCAGGGGAGCAAACGGGAUUAG